GGUGGGUAACUUCCGCCAGACUUUUCUGGAGAUGGCUAAUCCAGCCGUGGGAUGUGGUUUCUUCUAACAGCCAGUCAGGAAAAUCUUGCUUCUCAAACUCCUGUCUUGACCCCUUCCUGAACUUUGCCUCCUGGAUCUUGAGGUCUGCCUUCUGUGGAAGAGAAAUACUAGAAUCAAUGAACUGUGAACUAGAGCCCUGGGAUUAUCAACAGCCAGCUGAAAUUUUGAGAGCCACCUUAUAGAAAGCCUAACAGCAAAGACUGGAGAGAGGCUUCCAGCCAACAGCCAGCAAGGAAUUGAAGCCCUCAGUCCAAUAGCAGUGAGGAAUUGAAUCCUGCCAACAGCCUCGUGGAUGGGUUGCUUGCUGCCUGAAUCUAACUCCUGCUACUACUGCAAAUACCACUGCCAUGAAUAUCCUCAGCAAGACCCCCUUCCAGACCUGCAUGAACAGUUGUGUGAAAUGUAUAUGCACAAAGGGACUGCAAGGGAAGACCCAGAGACUAGGGAAGAACUUGGAACAAUAAUCUCAGUUUCUUCAAUUCCUAAACUUGAGAGUAUUGCUGUUUUUAAAUGAAAGUAUUUUUUCCCCCUAAGCAUUUUGUUCUAAAGUUGAGCUGCCUUUGAGGGGAAAUAAAGAGACUACCAGAUUAAUGGGUUUUUUUCAAAUGGGAUGGUGGGGUAAGGAAUAAUCGGGGUGGUCUGUGGAACAACUUGGAGGAUUGGUGUUAUGUCUCAAGAAGAUAUUCAAGUAUGUUCCUCCUUUUUUACCCAGACCGACUGCUUCAUGCUGGGCUUCAGACAUGAGAGGCUAGGAGUAGGAGGCAUGCCUUGUUCAAAGAUACCCAGUUCUCCCAGGACCAUUUGUUGAAAAGGCAGGCACCUCAUUUUACAGAAGAGGAAACUGAGGCCCAGAAAGAGAAGUGGCAUGCCCAAGGCUGUGCCAGAAGCAAAGUGUAAAAUAGAUCCUGAGCCUCCGACUCCUGGUCUUAAAUGUGGGAAAUAGUCUACAGUUUGGAAGACACCAGAGAAAAAUGCUCCACAGCUCGCCCUGGUGACUCACUACAACUUAUGGGAAGAUGUGAGAUUAUUCUGUAUUCUAAUGUAUGUUAGAAGGCACACUCCACCCAAAGCCUUCCUGUGUGUUCCUCCCUGUGAGCUCACAUCCCGUUCACCAGCUGACUGGGAAGGGAAGUCAGGACCAGCCCUGACCCCAUCACACCAUCAUAACCUCGGGAUGGCAGGGCUGGAAGGCACCUCAGACGUCAUCCUUUGCAGACUCUUCAUUUUACAGUGAGAGGCAUGACGUGUCCACAGCUGGUUAGUGCCAAAGCCUGGGACAGGCUUCACAUUGUCCAGCUCUUAGUCAGAGCACUGUUGACAAUGUCUGCCUUCACUUGGAAUUCAGCACCUGCUUUCAGUAUAAACCCCUGCAUUUCACUAAAACUGAGCAGACUGCUGGUUUAAAAAAGAGAGGUCCAUCCAGCAGGGAUGAUGCUUUUCCUCGUUGAAAGAGGACAUUCACCUAAUGGGAGACCUGGAGUCAGAAUCUUUCUGAUGUGUGACUUGGCACAGUAACACAAUGCAGGAUGCUGGUGUGUUAAUAAAAAUAAAAAUUGCAUCGCCUACCUCAGAGUCGACAACAAUGUCAAGGAGUUAAUAGUCUUGGCAACACAGAGGCCACUGGACAGAGGCAUAACCUUGCGUGGCAGCUGCACGGGAAUUGGAUUUGGCUCAGGUGUUUCAGAUGACUAAGAACAAAGGGGACCACUCUUGGUAUAGAAGUUCAUCUCGUCGGGAGCAUCUGUGGUUCUUUUAUAAGCAAUGUACAUUCUACAAUAGAGGCAGACCCAGAAAUAAUUCAGAUAUUGGAGUUAGAAGAUCAGGAUUCUAAAAAAACCAAAAGAUCCUGCCUUACUAUGCACCUAUGGCCCUUCAAAGGCGAGAGUAGAAUCUGCUAUGAUUUAGAAGCAAGCAAUAAAAAGUACACAUCAGGGGCAGAGUAAGUAUUUGUGAACAUUGGAUGGUGAUGAAGAAAAGGAAAUGGUGUCUAGUAUCCUACCUGGCCUCAUGGACCAAGACUAGAAGGAUUAGAGGCAAAGUCGAAGGAAGCUGCCACCAUAAAGGGUUCUGUGAAUGCUGUUUGGCUGAAAUGUGUGACAAAGCACUGGGAAGGGUUUCAUUGCAUUAGCUCAGGCCAUAGCACGACCCUUAACCAACACCUUAAGGUGAUGGUCCCCUUGGCAUAAAUAUUGGUGUUAAAAUCGAGGUUAACCUUAGUGAUAGUAUGGUUAAGAGUCCCCUGCAUGACUUUGGAAGUUGAAGAUGCUGAUCAGGAGAACUAGAGCAGGAAAGAGAAAAUAUGACUGAGGCUAAGUGGUGACUUGGUAUUGACUGAUAGGUGAACACAGGAAUGAAUUUCAGCGAGAACCCCCAGUAACUGUCUGGGGAGUGGAGACUGUGUAUGAACAGGACAGAAAAAAAAGCAGAUUCGGGUAGUGUCCUGUCGUGUGUCUCUUUUACAGUCCUGAAAUGAAGGACUUUCAGUGUUUUCAUUGAGCACCAAUCAAUUCCCUCUUUACAAAAGACCAUAUUGGAACAGCAUCAAGGUUUAGGGAUAUUAAAGCAAUACAGUGACACUGGAAUGACCACUGAGAACCAGCGAACUUCUUCAGCCCUUAUAUCCUCAGGCACUCUGGAAGCCAUGAAUCUGGUUUUCUUGCUAAACUGUGUGUACUGCACAGAGUACAAUGGUAAAGGAACAAAUAUUGGCUCUAAAAUCUCUUGUAAAGGGAAGGGUGGUCAUCCCUUUAGAUGGCAAAUUGAGUUUCUGUAAUGGGGUUUGCUCUGAUGUUGCAUUUCCACUCAGGCAUCAAGACAUUCUGUUGUUUAAAGCCCUAGAUGGGUGAUAUUUCUUUCAUGUGCAAGGCCCGAAUGCUUCACUGAGCUCUCUCUUACCCACACACACUCAUUUAAACCUUGGUCAAAAUUAUCCUUUAGCAUCUGCAUCUUCUCAGAAGGCGGAAGGGUCAAUGGGGAUAAUCAGGAGAGAUGAGGUGCACUUUCAGAAGUUGGAGCUGAGAAGGUGAUGGAAGUAUCUGUAAAGUCGUUGAACAGCUGCACGAACUAUAGGGGAAGCAUUUCUGGAGGCAAAAGGGGAAUAGCCCUUUCCUCUUAAACCAAAGCGAGCACAGCUCCAAAGGCACUUAGAUGGAGAGUUCAUCGGAAUGUGAGCUCUAAGAGUGGCUGAGAAUCUGACAAAAACAGCCAUCUGCCAACCCAAAAUUAAAACUCCUCUGUUUAGCACCCAGUAGAGAAAGUCAACCAGAUUGACUUCGCAAACAAAGGACCUUAAAAGCAUCACCUAAGAAAGUGUGUCAGGAUCCACAGACAUCCAGAGCAUUCUCUAUGGUUCAUUACUUACAUU
rnacentral:lncRNA from 1 species